rnacentral:rRNA from 1 species
GACGAACGCUGGCGGCGUGCUUAACACAUGCAAGUCGAACGGAAAGGCCCUGCUUUUGUGGGGUGCUCGAGUGGCGAACGGGUGAGUAACACGUGAGUAACCUGCCCUUGACUUUGGGAUAACUUCAGGAAACUGGGGCUAAUACCGGAUAGGAGCUCCUGCUGCAUGGUGGGGGUUGGAAAGUUUCGGCGGUUGGGGAUGGACUCGCGGCUUAUCAGCUUGUUGGUGGGGUAGUGGCUUACCAAGGCUUUGACGGGUAGCCGGCCUGAGAGGGUGACCGGCCACCUUGGGACUGAGAUACGGCCCCGACUCCUACGGGAGGCAGCAGUGGCGAAUAUUGCACAAUGGGCGGAAGCCUGAUGCAGCAACGCCGCGUGCGGGAUGACGGCCUUCGGGUUGUAAACCGCUUUCGCCUGUGACGAAGCGUGCGUGACGGUAAUGGGUAAAGAAGCACCGGCUAACUACGUG